GACGUAGGGCGCGAGCGUUGUCCGGAUUUAUUGGGCGUAAAGAGCUCGUAGGCGGCUUGUCACGUCGAUUGUGAAAGCCCGAGGCUUAACCUCGGGUCUGCAGUCGAUACGGGCUAGCUAGAGUGUGGUAGGGGAGAUCGGAAUUCCUGGUGUAGCGGUGAAAUGCGCAGAUAUCAGGAGGAACACCGGUGGCGAAGGCGGAUCUCUGGGCCAUUACUGACGCUGAGGAGCGAAAGCGUGGGGAGCGAACAGG
rnacentral:rRNA from 1 species